GAGGGUUUUUUAAGGGGGUCUGAAGUUUUUUAGGGGGUUAUCAGUGAUUUUAAGGGGUUUCACACGGCUCCAGGAGCGUUUCCCAUCCGGGGCCUCUUUCCCUCAGCAAAACCCACGAGGAAUUUGGGCUUUUCAUUCCCCGCCACUCCCCCGAAGCCAAAGCCCGGCCGCGCCGGCUGCCCGGAGCCUGCAAAUGACGGGGGUACUCGGUGUCAGCAGAGGCGUCCAAGGCCAYCAGCACCUCCUGGAACCCAUCCCCCUUGGCCAAGGCCACCAGCCGGCGCUCCAUGAACUCCUCCACUGUCACUCGGUAGGAGCUGGAAGAAGAUCAAGGUGCCAUAGAUGGUGGCGGAGGGAUGGUCCCACUCCUGCCAGUGCCCCCCAG